rnacentral:lncRNA from 1 species
GUCCUCAAGUACUAACAUUGCUUUUGCUGUCACAUUUGUCCUGGCUUUGCAGAGGUUAAAAAGAUUAUUGCAUAGCAGCUUCCAAGCAUGGAAAAAGGAGGUAAUCAAAUUGGACCACAGCCCAGGGAAACUGUGAGGUCUUACUGAGCACUGCGUGCCAGUGGAAAGAAGCAUUUUGAAAGGUAAACUGGUGGGGGCGAUGGGGUUCAGAUAUUCUCUGAGACCGGGAACGUCACUGCUCUCCCCGGGAAGCUGCUUUAGGCACAGUGCUCCUGCCUGACUCGGGAAGACUGCUCUCCUGGCCUCCUGGAAGUCAUAUGGGAAACAGAUAGGCAGCAAGGAACAACAGAGAUUUAGGGUUCACUGUGAGCCAGUUCCCCAACACCCAGGACAGCUUCCCAGGGAAGACGGAGUCUCGUCUGCCUGUGCUCCACUUGUACAGCAGGGCAACAUCAAACAGAAGGAAACAGAAGACAGAAGACCCAGAGCAACAGAUAUCCUGACUUACUAGAAGAGUACAGACACAUUUCAUGAGUAAUCUAAGAAGGAAAACAUCAUUUUAUCUCCAAAU